ACGGCUCAGUAACACGUGGCUAACCUGCCCUUGGGACGGGGACAACCCCGGGAAACUGGGGUUAAUCCCAGAUAGGUGAGAACUCCUGGAAUGGAUUUUCAUCGAAAAGGUGUUGAAGCAUGCUUUCAACGGCGUCCGAGGAUGGGACCGCGGCCGAUCAGGUUGUUGGUGAGGUAACGGCUCACCAAGCCUUUAACCGGUACGGGCCGUGAGAGCGGGAGCCCGGAGAUGGAAUCUGAGACAAAAUUCCAGGCCCUACGGGGCGCAGCAGUCGCGAAAACUCCGCAAUACGCGAAAGCGUGACGGGGCCAACCCGAGUGCCGUCCGCUGAGGAUGGCUUUUCCCCAGUGUAAUGAGCUGGAGGCAAUAAAAGGAGGGCAAGGAUGGUGUCAGCCGCCGCGGUAAAACCAACUCCUUGAGUGGUGAGGAUUAUUAUUGGGCUUAAAGCGUUCGUAGCUGGCCUGACUAGUCCCGCGUUAAAUCCAACGACCUAAUCGUUGGGCUGCGGGGGACACGGUCAGGCUUGGGGGCGGGAGAGGUUAGCGGUAUUCCCGGGGUAGGGGUAAAAUCUUAUAAUCCCGGGAGGACCACCAGUGGCGAAGGCUGCUAACCAGAACGCGCCCGACGGUGAGGGACGAAAGCUGGGGGAGCGAACCGGAUUAGAUACCCGGGUAGUCCCAGCCGUAAACGAUGCAGGCUAGCUGUUGGGAUGGCCACGAGCCAUUUCAGUGGCGCAGGGAAGCCGUUAAGCCUGCCGCCUGGGAAGUAAGAUCGCAAGAUUGAAACUUAAAGGAAUUGGCGGGGGAG
rnacentral:rRNA from 1 species